CAGUCGCCACGGUAAUACAGAGGGUGCGAGCGUUAAUCGGAUUUACUGGGCGUAAAGCGUGCGUAGGUGGUGGUUUAAGUCCGUUGUGAAAGCCCUGGGCUCAACCUGGGAAUUGCAGUGGAUACUGGGUCACUAGAGUGUGGUAGAGGAUAGUGGAAUUUCCGGUGUAGCAGUGAAAUGCGUAGAGAUCGGAAGGAACAUCUGUGGCGAAGGCGACUAUCUGGGCCAACACUGACACUGAGGCACGAAAGCGUGGGGAGCAAACAGGAUUAGAUACCCCCGUAGUCCCUGUCUCUUAUAC
rnacentral:rRNA from 1 species